rnacentral:rRNA from 1 species
GCUUAACACAUGCAAGUCGAGGGGCAGCAUGAGACUGAGAUUCGUCGAAGUCUUGACGGCGACCGGCGCAAGGGUGCGUAACGCGUGAGCAACUUGCCCGUUUCAGGGGGAUAACCGGUGGAAACGCCGACUAAUACCCCAUAGCAUCAACAUGAGGCAUCUCAAGUUGAUUAAAGAAUUUCGGAAACGGAUAGGCUCGCGUGACAUUAGCUAGAUGGUAGGGUAACGGCCUACCAUGGCGACGAUGUCUAGGGGUUCUGAGAGGAAGGUCCCCCACACUGGAACUGAGACACGGUCCAGACUCCUACGGGAGGCAGCAGUGAGGAAUAUUGGUCAAUGGUCGAGAGACUGAACCAGCCAUGCCGCGUGAAGGCGACGGCCCUAUGGGUCUUAAACUUCUUUUGUAAGGGAGCAAUAAGGUCUACGUGUAGACUGAUGAGAGUACCUUACGAAUAAGCAUCGGCUAACUCCGUGCCAGCAGCCGCGGUAAUACGGGGGAUGCAAGCGUUAUCCGGAUUUAUUGGGUUUAAAGGGUGCGUAGGCGGUCUGGUAAGUCAGCGGUGAAAUUUAGGGGCUCAACCUCUACCGUGCCGUUGAUACUGCUGGACUAGAAUGCGGAUGCCGUGGGAGGAAUGUGUGGUGUAGCGGUGAAAUGCAUAGAUAUCACACAGAACACCGAUUGCGAAGGCAUCUCACGAAUCCGCAAUUGACGCUGAGGCACGAAAGCGUGGGGAUCAAACAGGAUUAGAUACCCUGGUAGUCCACGCUGUAAACGAUGAUGACUAACCGUCGGCGAUACACAGUCGGUGGCCAAGCGAAAGCGAUAAGUCAUCCACCUGGGGAGUACGACCGCAAGGUUGAAACUCAAAUGAAUUGACGG